AUGGGCGCACAGCAGUGGCUCUUGGAACGAGCGCCGGCCAACAAAAUGGCGACCGUUUGACUGAAAGGUUCGGCUCCUCAACGAUCUGGCCAGAUUAGUGACAGCAUAUUGGUUUGGGGCAACAGCUGCUGUCAGGACAGGCUUCCAGCGACGUGGGACGUGAAGGGGUUUCAGCCAAGCCCCGUGGUUCCACAGCUGCCGGAGUGACCUAGCAGUUGGCUGGGCAUACCCUGAACUGCAGAAGAUGUACGCUGGGCCAGAAGCAAGGCUUCUUCCUGCAGACUUGGAAGGGGCUGAUGACAAAGGCCUGCCAACAGUGCUGUGACUGUUCCUUCAUACCUUGUCUACCUGGUCUAUGCUCAAACCACUCUGGCCUUCCAACCCAAUCUUCACACUAUAAUGAGAAAAUAAAGGCAAUUUUUCAAUAAGACCUUCAACAAAGCCUAUUCAGCUUUAUCUUUCUUCAAGAUCUCCUGAUUUGUCUGUUUCAGCCACACCAGCCUUUGUCAGCCAUCAGCUUCUGUCUCGAAUGAUCUUUCUUUCCUUAUAUGCCCAAUAACACCUAUUUGACUCUGGCUCAAACUUUACUUUUUUAUGCACGCCUUUAUUGAUCUCCCUACUAGAUCAACUCUGCUCAUUAGCCCUCCUUAGCCAUGGGACAAUAUAGUGUUCUACUAGUUUGUAUGGUUAUUAUAU